AGUCAAGAAAGCAAGGGCACAAGGUGGAUGCCUUGGCACAUGAAGGCGAAAAAGGACGUAAGUGAACGAAAACUAGGGUAAGCUCACAAAAAGCAUUGACCCCUAGGUCUCCGAAUGGGGCAACCCGGUUGUGGAAGACACAAUCAUUACUAAGUGAAUACAUAGCUUAGUAAGGCGAUACCCUGCGAACUGAAACAUCUAAGUAGCAGGAGGAAAAGAAAGAAACAUCGAUUUUCUAAGUAGCGGCGAGCGAAAGGAAAAGAGCCUAACUCAUUAAACGAUUUUAAAUCUAGUUGAAUUAACUGAAAAGCUAAACCAAAGAAAGUGAAAGUCUUGUAAACGAAAGAUUUAAGAAAGUAAGAGGGAAAGUAUCACCGGGCACGAGUAACCCGGUGUGAAGAUAGGGGGCCCAUCCCCUAAGGCUAAAUACUAACAUGUGACCGAUAGUGAACAAGUACCGUGAGGGAAAGGUGAAAAGAACCCCGAAAGGGGAGUGAAAUAGAACCUGAAACCUAGUGCCUACAAGCAGACAGAGCGUGAGCGAACGUGAUGUCGUACCUUUUGUAGAAUGGGCCAGCGAGUUAUUCUAAAUUGCAAGGUUAAUGAUUUAAGAUCAGAAGCCGUAGCGAAAGCGAGUCUUAAUAGGGCGAAAGUAAGAUAGAAUAGACCCGAAACCGGGUGAUCUAUCCAUGGUCAGAGUGAAGUUGAAGUAAAAUUCAAUGGAGGCUCGAACCGGGUGCGGUUUAAAACGCAUCGGAUGAACUGUGGAUAGGGGCGAAAAACCAAACGAACCCGGAGAUAGCUGGUUCUCCUCGAAAUAGCUUUAGGGCUAGCCUCUGACCUAAGAUUUUAGGAGGUAGAGCACUGAAUGGUCUAGGGCGGAUUACCGUACCAAAACCUAUCAAACUCCGAAUGCCAAAAAAUCAAGUCAGGGAGUCAGACUUAGGGGGAUAAGCUUCUAAGUCGAAAGGGAAACAGCCCAGACCGACAGCUAAGGUCCCAAAAUUUGAAUUAAGUGGAAAAGGAUGUGAAUCUACUAAGACAACCAGGACGUUGGCUUAGAAGCAGCCAUGCAUUUAAAGAAUGCGUAAUAGCUCACUGGUCAAGUGGGUUUGCGCCGAAAAUGAACGGGGCU
rnacentral:rRNA from 1 species